rnacentral:misc_RNA from 1 species
UAAGAAAGGGACGUUAGCGAGAAAAGAUUAAUGAGCUAAUUCCUACCUCCAAGAUCUGAGGUACCGUUAGUGAUCCACGAGAAUUCCCCUGUCUUGAAGACCCUUUCCUUGCUUUCAAAGCAAAUCCUGGGGCACCUGGCUUUUACAGCCCUUUCUCAGUGGAUUUUCUUUCCUGGCUUUUGAAACCUGAUCUGAAGGAUCCUGGGACUGAGUAGAGGAGCGUCUUCGGUGCAGAUUGAAGAGCGAAGCUUCUUCUUUUUUCAGUGGAUUAGUGAGAAAUGGCGAAAAGUGUAAGUCAAAAUGCCUGAUUGGCUAAACUUUUUUCUAGGGCUUCCAAGGGAUGAAUCUUGUUCAAUCUGUGGAUUGGUUAUAAAUUGCUAAAAGUGUAGGUCAAAAAGCCUGAUUGGCGGAGUUGAAGAGUGAGAUAGCCGUGUCAGUUUGAAUGUUUACCGAAGGGCUAGGCUAAAGCUCAUAGUGGCUGCUACGCUCCUUGCCUUUCAGUUCAAACCGGAAUAAAAGCAGGCACUUGCCAAAGCCCUCACCAAUCGCUAACUCUUGUGAUCAACGCACAAAGAAAUCGAUAGCUAUGUACCUUUUGGCCUUUUUUUCAUCCCCAUCCCUAAAGCCCUUUCUCACUGGUUGUCCAAGGGCCUACUUGACUGUUGAAUGAAAUAGGAAGAGAGCACUCUGAAUGGAGGAUGAUAUCCUGAAGGUGAUGCCUAUGCGAAUAGAGAGCACAAUGGGGCGUGUCGCUAAAGCUGAUGUAUGAGACCCUCCCUUCUGUCUAAAUACUAAAUAGCAUCCUUCAAUCCUAGCUUCAUGAGGGCAGCCUCACUUUUUCUGGGAUCUCGCUUAGAAUAGAACCCUAUCGCGAAUAGGAGAGGGAGCCGACCGACCAGAUAAAGCCCUUUCAACGCUACGCCCCUUGCUUCUCCUUCCGCCUUGGAGCACCGCUUGAUUGAUGAGAAUGCCACCACCUUGCAACUAAGAGAUGGUUAAAGCCAUUCUGUGAAGAGAGAGGGCAACUCUACCACGGAGUCUCUCGCCCAAGAGUGGCAUUAAUAGCCCCAUAGAGAAAGGAAGUUGCUGAAGUCCCUACAAUCUUUCUUAGGGGACCCGAUUACCUACUUCUGCCGGCGGGGGGAGAGUCCUUAGAGUAGUUCCAACGCCUGUGGUAAUAGGGUUAGGCCUGUAGACUCUUCCUACUGCCAAGUCAAAGCUGACGACCGCUUAUGCCGGCAAGAGCUGGGGAUUGACUAUGAGCUGUAGUCUUUUGAUGACUUCUUUCUACGGGACUUCCUUUUUCUCCUUGUAAGGGAGAAAGUGCCAGAGAGUCAUUUUGGGAGCAUAAGGUGAGGACGCUAGUUUAGGCUCAACUUGACUUCCCUAAAGUUCCUAUCCCUUACUAAAAAGCAACCUAGAACCGAUCUCUGCUAAUAGAAAACGAUGAGUGUUCGCCCUUGGUCUACGCGGAUCAGGGGCCCAGCUAACGCGUGAAGAUUGAGAUACGCAAGACACGAAAGAAUUCUCCUGCCGAAGGGAAGGCGCUUCUGUCCUUCUGUCAUUGCACGCGUGAAAACCUUCUCGCUUCGCACCUCUGCCCGGCCCGUUGGUUGAGCGCAAUUACGUAGAGAAAGAGAAGAUGCUUGAGCUUGAGAUAGUAGACGGUCUAAAACUAUAGCUGUCCGGAAAAUCGAUAGAAUGUCCAGAUUUCCCAAAAAUCAUUUCCUGGAAAAGUAGUAUCCCGAGGCUAAAAGUAAGUAAGCAACCAGUUCCGUUCAAACACUGACUUUGGUAGAGGGAUUAAGCUGAGUUUGGGGGGUACCUUCGGCAGGACAUUCAGUCCUGACCCAUUGUCAAUAAGGACUUUGGCGACGGUGUGAGUUUUGAAUUUGAUCAUGGCAUCAAUCUUGCCAUGAUCUUUCAUCUCAUGACUGAAGUUGACCAUGAAGCCAGUGAAGCAAAGGCUUAUAUCCUGGUUUCAGAGGGAGCUUGUGCACAUGAAUCAGAAGGGAUUUCUUCAUUUCAGAGUGGCAUUAGUGCCAUUAGAUUACAAAAGCCACCAACCAACAAGCCGAUUGCGCAAACGCCUUAAAAACUCUAGUAGCGACUAGCUGAUAGAGAUGCUGCCUCAGAAACGGAAAAAGCAUUUGUUGCAGCUGGCGCGGCGCAUAAUCUAUUUGUCUAUUCGUCAGAAGGCAAUCCGUAAUUAGCUUAGAUUGGUGCGUUCGCCAAAAAUCCGAGUGAUCGGGAUCUAAUUCCAUCAUACGUUCGAUCAUUUGCCUUUUCAAUUGAGCGGUCUCCCGUGCCUGCUGGAAAGGCAGAUCGGGAUUCGUUCCGGGGGGAUUUGUCCCUUAAGCGCCUAAAAAGAUGUUCUUCCAUGUGACGACGUAGCUCCACUUCUUCUGAGUCAGGCUCAAUCUCUUCCGCUGGGGGCACAUUUAGAUCGAGAGGCGGCCGCUGAGAUGAGCGAGGAAGGGAAUGGGAAGUGGAAAGAUCUGCCCAGUAGCAUGGAUUGACAACCCUCCAUAACAUCUUUCAAAUUUUCGUAAUAUAAAAAAAGAAAUGAAAGAAUUUCGUAUGUAAUGAUAUGGUAUGGGGAACGUAAAGCUGAUGCCUCCCCGAGUUAUCACUCUUUUUCUUCCUGUUAUCUAGCUUAAGGAUGGAUGCCAUGCUUACUUUUCGAGUUCGGGGGCGGGAAGAUCUACUCAUUCAAAGGGAAAGCGCACCCCUCUAUUUAUUUUCUUCUCAAAAGAAGAAGAGCUAGUGGAAUGGGCCCUUACCUCAUGCCAGCGGGGGAAAGAAAAGAGGCCCACUACGAGAGGAGAGAGUGAUUCAGCUGCUAACAAGCGCAGGUUUUUCAUUAAAUGAAUGGUUAUUCGGGAAACGUCUGUUGAUGAGGAGGUUAUACAUAGUAAAAAAAAAAAGAAAACCAGGGGGCGGAUUCAACCUGGGCUCCGUUCGAAGAGACGAAUAAUGGUCCUUCUCCCUCACAUGCUCCUUCCCAUGAGCAACUCGGUUGGCUUCGUGAACAAGAGCGCUGAUCACCGGAAGAUGAACAUUGAAAGGACUGAAAGCGUAGCGACGGGAUGUAGAUGUUGAUUUUGGAGGUCGCGUACUUCUUUAGUUAUAAUGCCAUCGACACGGUUGAAGCUUCCACUUUUCUUUGGUCCCAACAUGACCGACCAAGCGUAACGACCGCAGAAGGUACGGCCGGAGAAUUCAUCUCCAAGUCAACAGCAUGUCGGGCAGGUCCUGAGGAGGAUAUAGCCGAGUGAGUCUCAGACUUGUUCUCCCUUUGGAACUUUCUGGCUAAUGACCUGUCGAGGACUCUUCAGUCAAGCGCAUCCGAGCAACGAAGGUCGAGCUCCAAAAUUCAAACGAGAAUGAGGGUGUGAGAUCAAAGUGAGACAUGGAUCGUGUGUUCUAAUAGGUGACCAGGCCAAGGGACGCUGUCGGAAUCGCCCGGUUAAGUUGGACAGCAGUGACUCACUUUCUCUCCCGAAAGGGGACCGCUCCUACCUCUGGGAAACGAUCGGCACGCAGACUAGCUAUAUUAGCAGUUCGGGCAGGUCAAAGGUGAUCCUCCAAUCCGGGGAGAAUCGAGAGGGACCUAAGCGGAGCCGAUGAGUGAUACGAACAAAGGGGUUCCAUAAGUAAUUGGAGGGACCAUCGAUUCUUCGGACGUCAGCUGAGAGGCCUAGGAGAUUAGACAGUAGGGAACCGAAGCCAAGAGCUAAACAUAUGCAUGGGUGUACCCUCCAACUCCUGCGUUGGCGUGAGGGGAUUUGGGAAUCAUAGAGGGCGUAUUACCAACGGAACCCCAAACGUGAGGUGGUCAGUCCUACUCUCUCGAGUGCCUUUGCAGUUAGUAGCGGAAAGAGAGAAUUCCCUCUACAAUGACGGUACGAAAUCGAUCGGAGACUAGGAAACGAAUCAGUUCGUUUGACCGGUCCUUUCGAUUGCUAAACAUCAUUGGAUAAAAGGGCAGCGAAGGCUACGCUACGGUCGGAGAUUCAUCCCAGGUCCCCUUAAGAGCAGGCGCGUAGGGUAAAAAAAGAAAAAAUAAGAAGCUGCGUGUGAAUCCCAUCUAAAGCUCUUUCCUACUUACUUAAUUAUAAUAGAAGCGUUGGCCUAUUGGGAGCUUUCGGAAAUCACUUUGCAGAUCAAGACCAUAGGAACAGGGAAGAAGACGGGAGAAGACCUUAUUUAGAUGGAUUGGUAGCGCAGGUGGCCCUCUAGAAUGGAGUUCGGGCAGUGCUCUCACUUACGGGAAAUGAGGGUAGGGGGGUCGCAGAAUUCGGGACCUAACGAUGUUCGCUUCGUCACAUGAACGGGAGCGGACGAUUCCCUCGUCUCUCCCUUUUCGGGGAAUGGCUGCAAUCACAAGCAAGUGAUUGAAUGAGUGGGGGCUCCGAAAGCACAUGCGGGAUAAGCAGGUGUUUCAGGAGACGGUCUAAAAAUGGGUCCGGUCCAGAAAGAAAAGAAAAGAGAACUCUCAACAAGCUGGAACUAAUCAAGAUCAAUAGGAAGAGGAGGAAGAGGAUCAAAUCAAAAAGCUUAUGACGAGCAUCUAUUUGAAUCGAUCAUUUCCAAGAGCUAAUUCCAGUUUUUCCUUAUUCCGAGGUAACGCCUUACAAUCUUCAGUCUUACGCUUAAGGGGUAAAAUGUUCUUGUUGGAUGCAGGACUUGGGACCCCCAUCAUUUGUAUGCAAGAUGAGCUUACAGGAGUGCCAAAAAACCGAGCCACCAGGUUUGAGAAUAAAGUGGGUUUCCUGGGUAAAUCAAUGAUCAAAGAGCGAGCAGCCGCCAGGUUUAAUGAUUUGGUGGGAUCCACAGAUGUAGUGGCUGGUGAACCGCUUCUUCUUCCACGAAGAUUCAUACAAAUCCGAGCUUGGAUGGAACUGAUAAAGAUUUGGCGAACGAAAAAAAAGGUCAAAGGCUUUUAUAUUAAGAAAAUCAAGGGAGGUUAUUCAGUAGCCAUCGCAGGUUUCAUUACUUUUCUUCCAUUCCGUCCUCUCAAAAGGAAAGGAACAUGGAAAAAGGAAUCGCGAAGGCGAUGGCGAAAGAUAAUGGAAAGGCGAAGGCAAAUGGAAAUGCAAAGGCGAGCGCUAUUGAAUGGUCGAUUCAACAUCGAGCGCUAUGAUCCCAAAUGGAUGAAUAUUGUGGUGUCGCUACCAGCGGAAGAUCAAAGAAGAACUUGAUGAGCGAAAUUUGCUGACGAAAAAGAGCACUUUUUCAAUUCCGAAGCCUAGCCUCUCCUGUAACACUCUAUCACCUUAAUCCAUUCUUUAGCCUUUCCUGUAACACUCUAUCACCUUAAUCCAUUCUUUAGCCUU